UAGCUUCACGUUUCUCUACCAAUGAAAACAGGAGGUGGGUACGGUUUAAAGUGGGUUUACCCUCCACUACCAACACAUGAUAAUUGUUACACCAUCACUACGGGAGCGGAAGCCGGCAGAAAUUCGGUAACCGGUCCGGUUGCUGUGUGUGAAACAUCCAAAACACCAAGCUAACAUCUCCAUACAAACUGAUAAUAAUACAUAACCGUUACACCUGUCACCGACGGCUCGUCAGGUCUUAUGGGUAAAAUAUGACGUUUGAACGUCACAUUAACCGUUAUUUUAGAACGUUCACAUUCAUAACCGUUAGGAUUUUACAUUCUAUUAUGUAGCCGUUAAUAUUCAAACCCACCAUAUGUAACGGUAGAAACAUAACGCCACAUAACGGACAUUAUUUAAACUGCCUCUUACAACGACUUACUAUCUUUACAUCUCGUUUUUUUAUAGGACAUUUAACGCUAGCUUGGUAUACGUCGCCUUCACGUUAUUCUCAGACCGACAAUCGCUAACCUACCUACCGGUGUUCCUAGCAUUGGAGUACAGCGGAGGGAGGUGGAGGAGGAGGGAGAGUGAGAGAGCAGGGGAGGAAGGAGGGGGAGCUGGAGAUGGAGUAGGAGCAGAGUAGGAGUCCGAUAAAAGAGAUUUAAAGAGGAGGUCCUCUAGUGGUUUAUAGUAGAAGUACAGACAUAUUUGUUUUAUUUGCAGUAAAGGUGUAGAAAGGGUGGGGGAUGGUGGGGACAGCGUCAUCAUGACGACUCAUCUCAACCCCCAUGACCUUGAACACUAAAAUAGAAAAGAUGGCUACAGCUGAAAUAUUGGGGAUGAUGUGCAGCAUGCAGCUAUAAAAGUGUCUAAUGACUCACUACA